GCUGGUUCAUGCAUCACACUUUGAGUAUCACUGCCCUGAAGAAACCAUCAUGGAUGUGCCUAAGGGGACACAUACAGAAAAUAUUCACCAUAGUAUUGUCUAUCACAAGUAAGGAAAUGGAUGAAUAAAUGUAGAAUAUAGCAAUGAAGUUACGUGAAGGAACAACAUGAAUCCAUAUGAGUAAAUCUCAAAUCAUAAUGGUGAAUGGAAAAGUAAUUUGCAAAAGGAUACAUUUAAGAUACCAUUUAUGUAAGACUUAAUAGUAUUAAUAUCCAUUAUUUACAGAUACAUUCAUAUGUACCAAAAGUAUGAAAAUAUAGGAAGAAUACAUAUUGGCAAAGGAGUCAGGGAAUUGAGAUUGCAAAGAGCUUCAAAAGGGGCUUCAAUUGUAUCUAUAACAUUGUGUUUUGUUAAAACUGACCUAAAGCUCACCUCUUUCCAAUGCCCUGCCCUACCCUCCUACCCUGGAAAAGGUAGUCAGUAGAAAAGUAGACAUCCUGUCUAGAGAAAAGCUGCAGAGGAUGGUAGAAUGGGAACAUCCCUCUCUGCACAAAAAUAAUGCAGGAAUAAAGAUGAUCUAUUUCACUAUUUUUUUUCCUGAUCUUCCAAGAAAACUUGAACAUUAUUAUCUGCCUAUAUUGUCAAAAGAAAAGAAAAAGGAUAAGGAUAGUGUUUUGCUUUUGUUUUGUUUUGCUUUGUUUGGGACAGGGUCUUGCUCUGUUGCCCAGGCUGGAGUGAAGUGGCAUGACCAUGGCUCACUGCAGCCAUAGUGCCUUUCUUUAGAGAACGGAUACAUUUUACCAUCAUAGUGCAUGAGAGGCACAGUAGGAGUCACAAAAUCAUCAAUAAUAACACUAACUGACAUUUGGAUAGUACCCCAUUUUCAAGCUGUUUCUCUGUAGAACACAGAAAGACACAGUUAUAUAAAGUAAAAGAAAUGCAGCAUACCCUGAUAAUGACUUGGUCCCUGACCCCCAAAACCAAAAAUUUCCUUCUUCCUAUGAAUGUAUAUAACAAAUUAUCUUGAAAUUGACUGUGCUAAUUUACACUCCUAAAUAUCAUUUCAAAGUCUUGGCCGGGCACAUUGGCUCAAGCCUGUAAUCCCCACACUUUAGGAGGCCAAGCCAGGCAGAUCACCUGA
rnacentral:lncRNA from 10 species